ensembl:lncRNA
AUGCUAGAGGUAUGCAUGUUACUGAAAUGUCAAACCCCUGACCUGGAAACUUGUGGUGAGCCUGUGGGGUCAGCUUUUACCAAGUUUGAAGAUUCCCUCAGUGGCACAUUUGGAACAAGUUUCAAGAGACGGAUGUCUGCAGAGCCAAGGCGAAGCCCCUUUGCCUAUCUAGGCUUUAGCCCUUUAUGGAAGAGUGUUUGAGAGGGAUCCUCCAUGUUUAGGGCAGGGCCCUGGGUAACUACAGUGAUCCCCAUUCACUGCCAUCCUUUGAGGACUAGCCUGGCAAAGAGGGGAGGUAAAAAGAGACAGCUCAGCCCAUAGUAUCUGUUUAGAAGAUGUGUCCUGACUUUGCUGAAACAGCCAACUUAAGCAGACUUAAAAAGAAAUGGAUGAGUGCGCACACUUUACCUACUCACUCUGGGAGCUGCAGUCGUCUUCUGUGUGGGUGCACUUAAGUGUGUGUCACUAUGUCCAUGUGUGGUGCAACAUGUAUCUAUGGGAGGAGAGCCAGGAAGAGUCUUUGUGUGGCAACUGCUCUAACGUAUGCAAAUACUGUAUCUCUCAUUUGUAAAUGCACAGGGUUAGUGUGGAGAAUGUGGAGGGUAUUUGGUCCUAGUCAGUUAGGAUACAGAAAGUUAAAAACAAAGGUAUCUUUUAAAUAACUUUUUAACAAAUUGAAAUUGUUCCAUUAUCUCCUUAUUCUACUUUUAUGGAAUAUUUGUAUGGAAGUUAGAUACUUAGGAAUGGAAAGUUAGAAAGAGAUAAAUGAAUAAAUGAUCUACUUCAGAACA